UGUUGUUGCUACAAUGUUGUUGCUACAAUGUUGUUGCUACAAUGUUGUUGAUACAAUGUGUUGCUACAAUGUUGUUGCUACAAUGUUGUUGCUACAAUGUUGUUGCUACAAUGUGUUGCUACAAUGUUGUCGCUACAAUGUUGUUGCUACAAUGUUGUUGCUACAAUGUGUUGCUACAAUGUUGUUGCUACAAUGUUGUUGCUACAAUGUUGUUGCUACAAUGUUGUUGUUACAAUGUGUUGCUCAGGCAGUGCAUGUAGGGACCAACAAAAAAAAAACUCUUUGAAUAACCUGCCAGUACAUUGCCGCAACUUACAAUCACAUUUAUUAAUACUUAAUGUAAGCUAAAUAUCACACGGGGACUCGUUACUACGACCCAUGGACCUUGUUUCAGCUUUGGUCACAUGAGAGUACAUAGUGAAUAAGAAUAAACAAACGUACUUGAUAAGAAAUGGUCCUCAAAGUGUAGGACAAAAGAAAUCCUUUGUUCCUUGCUAGACACUGAAAUGUAUAGUCAGAGCUUCAAGUAAAUUCUCUACAUAGUCAGAGCUUCAAGUAAAGUCUCUACAUAGUCAGAGCUUCAAGUAAAGUCUCUACUUUAAUAGCUGAGACGAGUGGAAGCUCACUUGGUGAAUCUUUUGUUCAAUCGUCAAUAGGAACAAUAAGUCUAAUGCCAUGAAAUGUUGAUUUUUAAACAUUUCCUUGGUUUUAGACAAAUUUCUUUGAAGUUUCCAAAGUCAAAGUAUUAAAGGCAUUAAGAUGAGCUGUUCACUGAUUGGCAGAACUUACCCAGUUCAAUAAAUCUCAUGUUUUUUUUCCAAAAUAGAAAUAAAUGUAAUGUGUUGUCGUUUAUCUUUGCAAGCCAUUUUUUUGGUUGGUUUGAAAUUCUCCACACAAUUAAUGACUUUUCAAAUUAUUAUGUGGUAGAUUGUCAUUUUUCCUUAUACACGCAAUAAAGUUUGUAUCAAUUAAUAAUUUAAUGCUGCUAUAUCUCAAGCUUAGAUGAUAAACAAAAUAUCAUUUUGAAUUGGAAAGCUAAAUGCUUUUAUUCAAUACUACGGCUGGUCAAAUUAAAACUAACAGUCUCUUAAAAUGGAUUGUAGUUAUAUAGCUCUCAGUGGUUGGGAAAUUCUACCCAGUUUAUCAAAUAAAAAUGCCAAUAAAGUUUCAAAGCACAUUGAGUCGAGUAUCUUGUGGAGUAACUAGGUCACGUCUGCACAUGGAAACCCUUUCAUCGUCGUCUCCAGGGCACGUCUUCCUUGCCGUCACAAAGAUAGAUAGUUGAUAUGAUCUUGUUGCUUUUGUAGCAAUGAAACACUUACUUCUGUUUUAAAAAAAAAGAAUAGAUUUUGAUCUUCAUUCGGUUUCAAUGGACAACCUUCCAUUCCAUCAUUUAAGUAAUAAUCUGUGAAUUAACAUGCAACCCAGCAUUUUUUUGUAUAUGAUUAUAUGCUGCGCAACCUAUUUCACCCCCUAUUUCUGUGGUAAAUACAUUUGAGAAGCCCACAUCUCGUUGUAGCGGGUUAAUUGUACACGUUUUAGUCUUUGUUUCUUUUUUAAAUCUAUUUUCCAAUAAAAAAAAAUAUGCUGGUCAUUCUGAUACGUUUAUUACUUAGAAAGGAGCAGUUAAACGCUCAGUGCCAGUGGAAUGCAAACAUUUGGCGAACAAUGCUCGUGGAAAGCAAACUAAUGGAUCCACAAAUGGGCUGUGUACAUGAAUGACAAUCUGACUCGUCGCUGUUAUCAGAGCGGUCCGGAAUCAUGCUGCAGAUUUUUUUUUGGGGGAAGUUUAUAAAUUUGAAGUUGAUUGCAAAUAAAAUAUAUACCUUGCAAACACCUUGAAUAUAAAUACAACUCAUUAAAUCUGUUCGUCGUCACCCAAGAAGCAGUCAUUCCAACCGUCACUAAUAUGUGUGAGUAUAUUCAUUGUGGGGUAUUUCCUUCGUAAGUUUAUUCUUGAAACUGGAGUGUAGUUAUUUACCUCUCAUUGGUUGUGAAUUUCAACCCCAGCACAUGAUUAUAGAAAAUAAGAUCCCUAUGUAAAUAAAUAGGACAUUGAGUUGAAUAUCUUGUAGAGCAACUGUCACGUCUCUACAUGGAAACCAUUUCAUCAGCGUCUCGAGGGCAGACUUCCUUGUCGUCACUGAUAUAGAUUUCAUCUAUUUUUCUUGAGCUUUUAUGGCACUAAUAUGUAUUUUUUUAAAUAUGUUAAUUUACCUUCAUUCUACCCGUUAAAACAGUUUUCCAUUACGUUAUAUAUUUAAGUAAUGAUCUGUGAAUUAAUAUGCAGCCCAGCAUAUUUUGUACUUGAUUAUAUGCUGCCCUGCCCAUGUGAUCCCAUGUCUAUUUCUGUGGUAAAUACAUUUUAGACGCCCACAUCUCGUUAUAACGUUAUAACGGGUUGAUUGUACAGAAAAAAAACUGAGUGCAGCAUGUGGUUUCUACAGAGAUGUUUCUUUAAAAUUAAUUCCAAUUUUCCAAUAAAACCUUUUUUGGAAUUCAUUAUUUAGAAAGGAGCAUUUAAAUGCUCAAUGCCAGUGAGAUGCAAACAUUUAGCAAACAAUGCCAGUGGAAUUCAAACUAAUGGAGCCACACAUUUGCUCUCUGAGUCGUCACUACUAUCCGAGAAAUCUGCUAUCAUGUUGCAUAUUUUUUUCCCUUAUUAAUUUGGGGGGAGUUUGUGAAUUUGAGGUUGUUUGCUAAUGAAAUAUAUACCAUGCAAACACCUUUAAUAUUAAUCAACUCUCCUGUGGAAACAUGUUCGUCGUCACCCAAGAAGCAGUCAUUCCAACCGUCACUAAUUUGUACGAGUAUAUUUAUUGUGGGGAUUUCCUUCUUUAGUUUAUUCUUGAAGCUACAGCGACAAUAAGUUGAACUUUUGUAACACCUACUACGUUUAUUUAGACAAGUACACUUCUAGAAUAGGCUUUAGUUCUUUCUUUACUAUACAACUCUCUCUCUCUCUCUCUCUCCGAAUUUUUACUCUGUCUACAGAUUAAGUGACACAAUAUGCAUUAUUAUAUUUCCUGGUUCAAUUAACAAAUGGCACAUACAAAUCUUAGGUUUCUCUAAUUUACAUAAGCAACUUCAUUUACACUUGGUAACAAUGACUCACAUGAAUCCACCUGUUUCAAGUUUCCCUACGACGUAGAUAAUGCGCUCCUCUUAUUCUCUUAACCUACAUAACCACAGUCCCAAUAUUCACAUACAUAGUUACAAUUUGUUUUUGUAAGAAAGACAUGCAUGAACACUUUGGGACACUAUUAGUUGAUACAUUGCAGCUCUUAGGCUCGAAAAUGUCUUCAUCACAUUGAUGCCGGUAAGAGCCUAGCAGGUGUUACAGUUGUCAUGUAACACUGAGACCUAAGAAUAAAUUUUGUUCAUGUAAUGAGGAGAUUUUUUUUAUUUUUUUUUAUUUUUCAGUCCAACCUUUUAAUUUAAUGCACUUGUACUUAUAUUUCUUGGAUAGACUUUCCAUUUAAAGCAGUUGUCUUCCUUGUCAAAUGUAUCGGAAGCGUUAAUAGAAGUCUUUAUAAAGAAACUAACAGACUUGUUAAGAUGUCUUUCCUUACACUUAAAAUUUAUGAAUAAUAAAAAUGCUAUUUCUAAGAAGAUAUGAUGAUACAUUUAUUUUCAAUGUUUUCAAAAUUGUGUUUCGGGCAUUCAAAAUCAAAAAAAUUUUUAAGUAAAAAAUCGAUUUGAUUAGGUCCUUUCUGUAUGCUGUGAUUAGCAGGACUUAGUGGUUCAUAUGUCAGAAGUUACCUAGUUCAUUGGUCAGGUUACCUAGCUAUAAGUUAAAACUUACCUUGUUCAUAUGUAAGAAAUUACCUACUUCAUAUGUCAGAAGUAACCUAGUUCAUGUCAGUAGAUACCUAGUUCAAAUGUCAGUAGAUACCUAGUUCAAAUGUCAGGUUACCUAGUUCAUAGGUCAGAAGCCACCUAGUUCAUAUGUCAGGUGACCUAGUUCAUAGAUCAGAAGUAACCUAGUUUAUAUGUCAGAAGUUACCUAGUUCAUAUGUCAGUAGAUACCUAGUUCAAAUGUCAGGUUAUCUAGUUCAUAGAUUAGAAGUAACCUAGUUUAUAUGUCAGAAGUUACCUAGUUCAUAUGUCAGUAGAUACCUAGUUCAAAUGUCAGGUUACCUAGUUCAUAGUUCAGAAGCUACCUAGUUCAUAGGUCAGGUUACCUAGCUAUACGUCAAAACUUACCUAGUUCAUAGGUCAGGUUACAUAGCUAUACGUCAAAACUUACCUAGUUCAUAGGUCAGGUUACAUAGCUAUACGUCAAAACUUACCUAGAUCAUAGGUCAGAAGUUACCUAGUUCAUAGGUCAGGUUACAUAGCUAUACGUCAAAACUUACCUAGUUCAUAGGUAAGGUUACAUAGCUAUACGUCAAAACUUACCUAGUUCAUAGGUCAGAAGUUACCUAGUUCAUAGGUCAGGUUACCUAGCUAUACGUCAAAACUUACCUAGUUCAUAGGUCAGAAGUUACCUAGUUCAUAGGUCAGGUUACCUAGCUAUACGUCAGGUUACCUAGCUAUACGUCAAAACUUACCUAGUUCAUAGGUCAGGUUACCUAGCUAUACGUCAAAACUUACCUAGUUCAUAGGUCAGGUUACAUAUCUAUACGUCAAAACUUACCUAGUUCAUAGGUCAGGUUACAUAGCUAUACGUCAAAACUUACCUAGUUCAUAGGUCAGGUUACAUAGCUAUACGUCAAAACUUACCUAGAUCAUAGGUCAGAAGUUACCUAGUUCAUAGGUCAGGUUACAUAGCUAUACGUCAAAACUUACCUAGUUCAUAGGUCAGGUUACAUAGCUAUACGUCAAAACUUACCUAGUUCAUAGGUCAGAAGUUACCUAGUUCAUAGGUCAGGUUACCUAGCUAUACGUCAAAACUUACCUAGUUCAUAGGUCAGGUUACCUAGCUAUACGUCAAAACUUACCUAGUUCAUAGGUCAGGUUACAUAUCUAUACGUCAAAACUUACCUAGUUCAUAGGUCAGGUUACAUAGCUAUACGUCAAAACUUACCUAGUUCAUAGGUCAGGUUACAUAGCUAUACGUCAAAACUUACCUAGAUCAUAGGUCAGAAGUUACCUAGUUCAUAGGUCAGGUUACCUAGCUAUACGUCAAAACUUACCUAGUUCAUAGGUCAGAAGUUACCAAGUUCAUAGGUCACAAGUAUCAUUGUUUAUUGGUCAGAACUUCAUUAGGUAGAAUUACAUAUUUCAUUUAAAUCUCAUAUUGUUUUUAAAAUAGUAGACAUGAAUGUAAUCUGUUGUCUUUUAUCUUUGCAAUCUGUUUCUUAUUUAACAUUCUCCCUACAAUAAAAUACUAAAUAAGAACGAAUCAUUCACUUGACAACAGAUGAUCAUACACGUGAUUAAGCUUCAGGGCAAUCAAACAUUUUGGUCCAUGCAAGCUGACUCUCAAGUGUCUUGUAAUUGUCCCUUCAAAGAAACCUUUCUACUUUUAUAAACGAAAUUAUGGGCAGUUAACCAGGUGACUAAAAUUAUCAACAUGAUUAUAGUUUAUUUCUUUAACCUUUGUAAACCCAUUUGUUUGUGUGACGUUAACAGCACAAAUAAUAAUGUAAUGGUUAUGAACUAAAGUGUCAUUUCUUCCUACUAGCACAGCAUCAUUGAUUAGAAUCUUUUAAUCAAUCCGGCCUAAAUUAUGUUAAAAUGUAUAGAAUGCUCUAAGAAGUAUUCGCUUAUGAAGAUUUCAAAAAUCUAUUGUAUGACUUCUAACCACAAAGGUUCAUGUUUUCCCGAUACCUCAAACUAUAUAUCCUUACCUGGCAUCCCUUUUCCUGUUCUCUAUUGUUUCUACACAUUUUGGAAAUUGUUUCCAUAUGAGAGAAAUCUACUGAGAUACUCUUUCAUAAGUGUCCAUCAAGUAAAGUGGAUGUUGGUGCUCAGUUAAUUGUAAAGGUAAAAAGUCUUUAAAAUAUUGGACAUUUGUAACCAUUUGUUUGGCGGAUAAUUGGAAUCUCACCUUGAUUUUAAUGUUCAUGUUAGUUUAGUCUAGAAGCAGUACAAAGCGUACACACAGAAAAACUGUAAUCUCGAUGAGUCAAAAUUAAGAAAAGAAAAUUUCUUUGACUUUGGAUACCAUUUAUUCAUUCUUUUACAUUCUCCACAAAAUAGUAAUUUGAACAAUUACUAUUUAGAACCUUGUCCUUUUCCCCUAUAACCACUGCAUCUUUGAUUACCUAGUUCAUCUUUGAUUAGACUCUUUUAACGGUUUCAAUCUUUUAUUCUCUGCCAAAAUAAUGAAGUUAAGAAUGUUGUCAUAUUUUUUUAAAAAGUAUUCGCUUAGGAAAGUUUCAAAACUUGUUUGUAGAUUUCUUUCAAAGUCAAAGUAUUAAAGGCCAUUAGGUGACCUCUUUCCUGUCCGCAGUGAUUGGCAGAGCUUACCCAGUUCAUUAAUUAUCAUGUUUUUCAAAUAAGACAUUAAUGUAAUUUGCAGUCUUUUAUCUUUUCAAGCAAAUUUUUUUGUAUGUUAGAAAUUCUCUGCAAAUAAAUGACUUCUCAAAUUCUAGUGGAUCUAAUAGAUUGUCAUUUUCUCUUUAAACUCGUAACAAAGUUUGUAUCAUUUAAUGUUGUAAUUUUAUUGUGACUCAUAUCUAGCUUGAAUUGGAAAGCUAAAGGCUUUAUUCAAUAUUACAGAUAGGUCAAGUUGAAACUAACAGUCUCUUAAAAUGGAUUGUAGUUGUAUAGCUCUCGGUGGUUGGGAAAUUCUACCCAGCUUGAUUAUAAAAUUAGUAUUCCUAUAAAAUUUAAAAGAAUAAUGAGUUGAAUAUCUUGUAGAGUAACUGUCACGUCUCUACAUGAAAACCCUUUCAUUAUCCUCUCGAGGGCAGUCUUCCUUACUGUCACAAAUAUAUAUUUCAUUAUCCUCUCGAGGGCAGUCUUCCUUACUGUCACAAAUAUACAUUUCAUUAUCCUCUCGAGGGCAGUCUUCCUUACUGUCACAAAUAUAUAUUUCAUCUAUUUUUCUAGAGUUUUUACAGCACACUUAUUUCUGUUUUAAAAAAGAAUGAAUAUUGAUCUUCAUUCUCACCAUAAGGACAAUCUUCAAUUCCAUCAUUUAAGUAAUAACCAGUGAAUUAAUAUGCGACCCAGCAUUUUUUGUACAUGAUGAUAUGCUGCCCAAGCCAUAUGAUCCCCUGCCUAUAACUCAGAUAAAUACAUUUAGACGCCCAUACUUUGUUGUAACGGGUUGAUUGUGUUUACUGAGUGCAGUAAACAUUUUCUAAAGAGACUUGUUUGUUUCUAUUGUAUCUCUAUUAACCGAUUUUUUUUUUUAAUUUCUGGUAAUUCUGAAACGUUUAUAAUUAGGAAAGGAGCAGUUGAACGCUCAAUGCAUGUGGAAUGCAAACAUUUGGCGAACAAUGCCAGUUGCAAUACAAACUAAUGGAGCCACACAUUUGCUGUGUGCAUGCAUGACAGUCUGACUCGUUACUACUAUCUGGGACAUCUACUAUUCGGUUUCUUUAAUAUACAGCAUUUCCUGGUUCAACUUACCAAUGGCCGAUACAAAUCUUUUCUAGGUAACUCUAAUUUACAUAAGCAUUUUCAGUUGUAACUCCAUUUGCACUGUCCAUAAUAACAAUGACUCACAUGAAUUCACCUUUAUCAAGUUUCCAUAUGACGUAGAUAAUACGCACCCCUAAUUCUCGAAACCUAAAUAACCGCAGUCCCAAUUCUUACAUACAGAGUUAUGACAUGCUUGAACACUUUGGGACACUAUUAGAUGAGACAUUUCAGCUCUGAGACUCCACUCAUCCCAUUGACGUUGAAAAAGGUCUAACAAGUGUUACAGUUGUCAUGUAACACUGAGACCUAAGAAUAAAUCUUGUUCAGUGUACAUGAAGAGGUUUUUUUGUUUUUUCAGUCCAACCUUAUAAUUGAAUUUUUGUUAAUAUUUCUUUUAUUGACUUUCCAUUGAAAGCAGUUGUCUUCCUUGACAAAUGCAUCGGAAGUGUUAAUAGGAGUCUUUAUACAGAAACUGACUUGUUUAGUUGUCUUUUCUUUGACCUGAAACGUGUAAAUAAUAAAAAUGCUAUUUCUAAGAAGGCAUGACGAUAACUUUGUUGUUGACAAACUUUCAAUGUUUUCAAAAUUGUGUUUCGGGCAUUCAAAAUGAAACAAAAUAUUAAAGUUGAUUAGAUGAAAUCCUCCUAUUGUUGUUUUUUUGAACUAGUAUACAGGAAUGUAAUUUGAUGUGUUUUAUCUGUGCAAUCUAUUUGUUAUUUGACAUUCUUCCCCCCUAUAAGAUACUAAAUAAGAACAAACAACUCACUUGGCAACAGAUGAUCAUAAAAGGGAUUAGGCUUCAGGGCAAACAAAAAGUUUGGUUCAUGCAAGCUGAUUCUCAAAAGUCUUGUUAUUGUCCCUUCAAAUAAAAACUUUUUACUUGAAUGAACGACAUUAAGGGCAGUUAACCGGGUGACUCAAAUAAUCGACAGGAUUUUAAUUCAUUGUUUUGAAUGACUGUAAACCCUUUGUUUGUGUGACGUUCUCCACACAAAUAAUAAUGUAAUUACUAAAUUAUCAUUUCCCCCUACCAUUAAAGCAUCAUAUAUUUGAAUCUUUUAAUUAAUCCCGCCAGAAUUAUGUUAAAAGGUAGACCCUAUAUAAUACUCUAAGAAGUAUUCGCUUAUGAAGAUUCCGAAAAUGUCUUGUAUCAAUUCAACAGAAGGUAAUACAAGGUGAUGAAAUAUCCACAACAAUAUGUCUUAAUCUGUCAUCCUUUUUUUUUCUCUUAUCUAACUCCUAAUUGCAAAAAGCCUUUUCAACACGAGAGAAAUCUACUGAGAUACUGUUGUAAAUGUCCCCAUCAAGUACAUUGGAUGUUGAUGCUCUAUUAGUUGUAAAGGUGAAAAGUCUUAAAAUAUUGGAAAUUAAUUUCCAUUUGUUAGGCGGAUAUUUGGAAUAUGCCUUGAUUUUAAUGUUCGCAGAUUAGUUUAGUCUAGAAGCAGUACAAAGUGUAAACACAGAAAAACUGUAAUUCUUUAGAGAGCUUGAAACUUGAUGUUUAUAUCUACUACGAUCAUUAAAAAUUAGGGGAAAAAAAUCUACGACUUUGGAAAUCAAUUUCUAUUCACAAAAAUAGUAAUUUGAACAAUUAUAAUUUAGAACAUUGUCAUUUUCCCCUAAAACUACUGCAUCUUUGAUCAGACUCUUUUAUCGGUCUCGAUCUUUUAUUCUCUGUCGAAAUUAUGAAGUUCAAAAUGUUGUCAUAUUUCAAAUUAAAAAGUAUUCGCUUAGGAAAGUUUCAAAACUUGUUUGUAGAUUUCUUUCCAAGUCAAAGUAUUAAAGGCCAUUAGUUGAGAUAUUUCCUGUACGCAGCUUGUUUGACAUUCUCCGCACAAUGAAUGACUUCUCAAAGUAUCAUUUAGUAGAUUGUCAAUGUUGCAAUUUUAUUUUUACUCAUAAGUAGAUUGAAUUAGGAAGCUAAAAGCUUUAUUCAAUACUACAGUUUGGUCAAAUUAAAACUAACAGUCUCUUAAAAUGGAUUGUAGUUGUAUAGCUCUCGGUGGUUGGGAAAUUCUACCCAGCAUAUUUUAAAAUUAAUAUCCCAAUAAAAUUGAAUAGUACAUUUAGUUGAAUAUCUUGUAGAGUAAAUAUCACGUCUCUACAUUGAAACUUGAAACCCUUUCAUUAUCCUCUCGAGGGCAGUCCUCCUUCUCACCAUAAGGACAAUCUUCAAUUCCAUCAUUUAAGUAAUAAUCUGUGAAUUAAUAUGAAACCAAGCAUUUUUUGUACCUAAUUAUAUGCUGCCCAAGCCAUAUGAUCCCCUGCCUAUAACUCAGAUAAAUACAUUUAGACGCCCAUACUUUGUUGUAACGGGUUGAUUGUGUUUACUGAGUGCAGUAAACAUUUUCUAAAGAGACUUGUUUGUUUCUAUUGUAUCUCUAUUAACCGAUUUUUUUUUUAAUUUCUGGUAAUUCUGAAACGUUUAUAAUUAGGAAAGGAGCAGUUGAACGCUCAAUGCAUGUGGAAUGCAAACAUUUGGCAAACAAUGCCAGUUGCAAUACAAACUAAUGUCUGAGUCGUCACUACUAUCCGAGAAAUCUGCUAUCAUGUUGCAUAUUUUUUCCCUAAUUAAUUUGGGGGAGUUUGUGAAUUUGAGGUUGUUUGCAAAUGAAAUAUACACCUUGCAAACACAUUUAAUAUUAAUAACUCUCCCGUGGAAACCUGUUCGUCGUCACCCAAGAAGCAGUCAUUCCAACCGUCACUAAUUUGUACGAGUAUAUUUAUUGUGGGGAUUUCCUUCUUUAGUUUAUUCUUGAAGCUACAGCGACAAUAAGUUGAACUCUUGUAACACCUACUACGUUUAUUUAGACAAGUACACUUCUAGAAUAGGCUUUAGUUCUUUCUUUACUAUACAACUCUCUCUCUCUCCGAAUUUUAACUCUGUCUACAAAUUCCAUGUCCUUGAAAACAUGUUAUGUAGGCCUACUAGUACAUCAUCAUAUUUCCUGGUUCAAUUAACAAACGGCACAUACAAAUCUUUUCUAGGUUUCUCUAAUUAGUUUUAAAUGUGAAAAAAAAGACUUAAAAUAUUGGAAAUUAAUUUCCAUUUGUUUGGCGGAUAAUUGGAAUCUCACCUUUUAAUGUUCGCAGGUUAGUUUAGUCUAGAAGCAGUACAAAGUGUACACACAGAAAAACUGUAAUUCUUUAGAGAGCUUGAAACUUGAUGUUUAUGUCUACCUCGACGACUCAAUAUUAGAAACAAAAAAAUGGUUUCAACUUCGGGAAAACCCGUUUCUAUUUGUUUUACACUAUCCACAAAAAUAAUACUUGCAACAAAUAAUAGCUAGAACAUUGUCAUUCUCUAUAUAAUCACUGCGUCUUGGAUCAGACUCUUUUAUCGGUUUCGAUCUUUAAUUCUCUACCGAAACUAUGAAGUUCAAAAUGUUCAUAUUUCACUAAUAAGUAUUCACUUCGGAAAGUUUCAAAACUUUUUGAUUUCAUUCUUGUAUGAUAAUGAUAAAUGUAGAAAUCUUUCUUGUACUAUGUCGAUAUAAAUGUGUCACGUGUUUGUUCCCCAUUGUUUUUCACGAAGCUUUAAACUAUUUCAGUCCUCAUUUCCUUCCUUUAACGUCACAUCAAAUUUUAAAAUCCUUUUCAAUUUAUUUCCGAAGCUUCAAAAUAUGUCUCCCAUAGAGUUCCUUCCUCUAGCACUGGUAUAAUGUUAAGCCUUUUCAAUUUAUUUCCGAAGCUUCAAAAUAUUUGUCCCAUAGAGUUCCUUCCUCUAGCACUGGUAUAAUGUUAAGCCUUUUCAAUUUAUUUCCGAAGCUUCAAAAUAUGUCCCAUAUAGUUCCUUCCUCUAGCACUGGUAUAAUGUUAAGCCUUUUCAAUUUAUUUCCGAAGCUUCAAAAUAUGUCCCAUAUAGUUCCCUCCUCUAGCAUUGGUAUAAUGUUAAGCCUUUUCAAUUUAUUUCCGAAGCUUCAAAAUAUGUCCCAUAGAGUUCCUUCCUCUAGCACUGGUAUAAUGUUAAGCCUUUUCAAUUUAUUUCCGAAGCUUCAAAAUAUGUCCCAUAUAGUUCCUUCCUCUAGCACUGGUAUAAUGUUAAGUCUUUUCAGUAUAGUUCGCUAAGGAGAACAUUUUCAGUUGAUGUUUAAUUAUGUUUCUGCUUUGAUAUAUGCAAUAACGCAUGGUCUUCAAGUCUAAAGAUUGAGGAACAGUGCAGCAAUUAUCGUUUAAAAGCAAACCCAUUGGCGACCUGCAUAUUUACCCCAUAUUUAAUGCAAGCAAAAUCAUUGUCCGCCGGCGGUCUAUUAAAAAAUAACUAUUGACAAAAUAUUACAAACAAAAAUUGUUAAAAUAGAAUUUGAACUCCUUGCACAGUUUUGUAACAAACAAUAAAUGUGUAGGUAACUAGCUCACUGUUUUAUGGUUCAACGAAAAUGAAAAAGGAUAACUUAGGGGGGGGGGGGGGCAGAGGGAAUAUUGUAGGAAGGUUCGAGACACCGACCCUAGUGACGCCCCUGAGUACAUGAAAGUUAAUUGCAGGAGGAAGGGGCUAGAACAAUCCUCAUUUUUUUUAAGCUAAUAAAACAUUAUAUAUAGCUCAGAUUUAGUGGAGUUGUUUUUUUUGUUGUUGUUCUUUUACCAAUAACAAACUGCUUUUGACUCAAUCAAAUGUGAUCCAAAUGACAUCUUUAUGCCUAUAAAUACAUUUUCUUGUGUAAACUCAAUGUUCGCCUUGUUGGAUGAAAAUGUUACACUAGUUACAUUGUUGUGAACAGGUAAAUGUUAUUGGGUAUAUUGCAUUGUAUGUUAGAGCAUUGGAAUAUUUUUUUUUUAGUUUUUGUUAUUAAAUUGAAAACAAAAUGGUACUGUUAUUGUUUCGCCACACCCUCUGAAAAUGUUAAUAAGGGACUACUGUAGGUAGAACGAACUCUUGACCUUAGCCUAUGCGCAUGUCUUCUAACCUAUGUUCAUUUAGAGAGGGUUUUGAUCAGGAAUAAUUAUUGUCAAUACAUGGCUUGAUGAAGUAGACAGCAAACAUUUUAUAUUUCUUCUGUUGUUGUUUUUUUAAAGCAUCGAGCUUUAAUUUUUUAGCAAUCAUGUAGCUUUUUUUUUUUUUUUUGUAUUUUCCACUUAAAAUGUAUAACCAUUUUAACUUAAUUUAAUUCUAUUGUCUAUAUUGGCCCUAUAUCAACAAAUGUCCAGAAGCAGACUACAGCUUUUGUCUCAAAGACAGAAAUGAAAACAAAAAUUAUUUCCCUUGAUACUUGUAAAUCUUCUGUGACAUAAAACAAAAAUGUUGAGCCAGAAGUAUCACUUUCAAGAAGAAAAGAUUAGAUGCACAAAUCUAGUAUAUAUAGGUAGUGAUCCAGAUCUAGUAUAUAUAGGUAUGUGAUCAGAUGUUAGCAUACAUAGGUAUUCAUGUGUGAAUGUAAUCUUGUUUAAGCUUGUGAUCAGUUGUUAUCUCUGUGUAGAGAGAAACUAAUUGCACUCAUUAGAGAGAUGUUUGUUUUUUUUAUGCAUGAUUGUAAAUAGCUACCUUUUGGUAAUGUAAAUACAAUGAAAGUCUAAAAUUUAGCGAAGAAAAAUAUGUUCUCCUAUACAAUGCAUUUUGUGUGUAAAGGAAUUAUAUAUAUAUAUAUAUAUA